rnacentral:rRNA from 1 species
CUACGGGUCGCAGCAGUGGGGAAUAUUGGACAAUGGGGGAAACCCUGAUCCAGCAAUGCCGCGUGUGUGAAGAAGGCCUGCGGGUUGUAAAGCACUUUCGGUUGGGAGGACUGCUUCUAGCACUAAUAUUGUUGGAAGUUGACGUUACCUUCAGAAGAAGCACCGGCUAACUCCGUGCCAGCAGCCGCGGUAAUACGGAGGGUGCAUGCGGUAAUCGGAAUUACUGGGCGUAAAGCGCGCGUAGGCGGCUAGAUCAGUCGGGUGUGAAAGCCCCGGGCUUAACCUGGGAACUGCAUCCGAUACUGUCUAGCUUGAGUACAGGAGAGGAGAGUGGAAUUCCACAUGUAGCAGUGAAAUGCGUAGAUAUGUGGAGGAACACCAAUGGCGAAGGCAGCUCUCUGGCCUGAUACUGACGCUGAGGUGCGAAAGCGUGGGGAGCAAACAGGAUUAGAUACCCUUGUAGUC